UACGGAGGGGGCUAGCGUUGUUCGGAAUUACUGGGCGUAAAGCGCUCGUAGGCGGCUUUGUAAGUUAGAGGUGAAAGCCCAGGGCUUAACCCUGGAAUUGCCUUUAAGACUGCAUCGCUAGAAUCGUGGAGAGGUGAGUGGAAUUCCGAGUGUAGAGGUGAAAUUCGUAGAUAUUCGGAAGAACACCAGUGGCGAAGGCGACUCACUGGACACGUAUUGACGCUGAGGUGCGAAAGCGUGGGGAGCAAACAGG
rnacentral:rRNA from 1 species